GGUCAUGAGUGCCAGCGCCAAGCCCCGGCUAGCUGGCCGGCAACCCUCCUCCGCGGUGGGGUGCUCCGGGUGACGACCAGGCCGCACGCGACCGCGUGCCGGCAAGCGCGGACC
rnacentral:ncRNA from 1 species